rnacentral:rRNA from 1 species
CCUACGGGAGGCAGCAGUGGGGAAUUUUGGACAAUGGGGGCAACCCUGAUCCAGCCAUGCCGCGUGAGUGAAGAAGGCCUUCGGGUUGUAAAGCUCUUUCAGACGGAAAGAAAUCGGGUGGGUGAAUAUCCUGCCUGGAUGACGGUACUGUCAGAAGAAGCACCGGCUAACUACGUG